AUGGUUGUCGUCAGCUCGUGUCGUGAGAUGUGGGUUAAGUCCCGCAACGAGCGCAACCCUCGCCUCUAGUUGCCAGCAUUCGGUUGGGCACUCUAGAGGGACUGCCGGCGACAAGUCGGAGGAAGGUGGGGAUGACGUCAAAUCAUCAUGCCCCUUAUGACCUGGGCUACACACGUGCUACAAUGGGCGGUACAAAGGGCUGCGAACCCGCGAGGGGGAGCGAAUCCCAAAAAGCCGCUCUCAGUUCGGAUUGCAGGCUGCAACUCGCCUGCAUGAAGCCGGAAUCGCUAGUAAUCGCGGAUCAGCAUGCCGCGGUGAAUACGUUCCCGGGCCUU
rnacentral:rRNA from 1 species